UACGUAGGGUGCAAGCGUUAAUCGGAAUUACUGGGCGUAAAGCGUGCGCAGGCGGUUUUGUAAGACAGCUGUGAAAUCCCCGGGCUCAACCUGGGAACUGCGGUUGUGACUGCAAGACUGGAGUGUGGCAGAGGGGGGUGGAAUUCCACGUGUAGCAGUGAAAUGCGUAGAGAUGUGGAGGAACACCGAUGGCGAAGGCAGCCCCCUGGGUCAACACUGACGCUCAUGCACGAAAGCGUGGGGAGCAAACAGG
rnacentral:rRNA from 1 species